rnacentral:rRNA from 1 species
CUACAAAACAACAUUAAUGCAUCGGAUCCCAUUAGAACUUCAUAGUUAAGCGCACUCAAGAUAGAGUAGUAUUGGGAUGGGUGACUGCUCGGGAAGUCCUAGUGUUUUACAUG